rnacentral:rRNA from 1 species
AGUGAACGCUGGCGGUAGGCCUAACACAUGCAAGUCGAACGGCAGCACAGUAAGAGCUUGCUCUUACGGGUGGCGAGUGGCGGACGGGUGAGGAAUACAUCGGAAUCUACUUUUUCGUGGGGGAUAACGUAGGGAAACUUACGCUAAUACCGCAUACGACCUACGGGUGAAAGCAGGGGAUCUUCGGACCUUGCGCGAUUGAAUGAGCCGAUGUCGGAUUAGCUAGUUGGCGGGGUAAAGGCCCACCAAGGCGACGAUCCGUAGCUGUUCUGAGAGGAUGAUCAGCCACACUGGAACUGAGACACGGUCCAGACUCCUACGGGAGGCAGCAGUGGGGAAUAUUGGACAAUGGGCGCAGGCCUGAUCCAGCCAUACCGCGUGGGUGAAGAAGGCCUUCGGGUUGUAAAGCCCUUUUGUUGGGAAAGAAAAGCAGCAGGUUAAUACCCCGCUGUUCUGACGGUACCCAAAGAAUAAGCACCGGCUAACUUCGUG